rnacentral:piRNA from 1 species
UUCCUAGAUGGAAAUGGGAUGGACCC